AUUGAACGCUGGCGGCAGGCCUAACACAUGCAAGUCGAACGAGUGGCGGACGGGUGAGUAAUGUCUGGGAAACUGCCUGAUGGAGGGGGAUAACUCCUGGAAACGGUAGCUAAUACCGCAUACCAUCGGAUGUGCCCAGAAGGGAUUAGCUAGUAGGUGGGUUAACGGCUCACCUAGGCGACGAUCCCUAGCUGGUCUGAGAGGAUGACCAGCCACCCUGGAACUGAGACACGGUCCAGACUCAUACGGGAGGCAGCAGUGGUGAAUAGUGCACAAUGGGCGCAAGCCUGAUGCAGCCAUGCCGCGUGUAUGAAGCAGGCCUUCGGGUUGUAAAGUACUUUCAGCGGGGAGGCGUUACCCGCAGAAGAAGCACGGGCGAACUCCGUGACAGCAGCCGCGGUAAUUC
rnacentral:rRNA from 1 species